rnacentral:rRNA from 1 species
AAUGAACGCUGGCGGCGUGCUUAACACAUGCAAGUCGAACGAGAACGGGUUCUUCGGAACCUUAGUAGAGUGGCGCACGGGUGAGUAACACGUGGACAAUCUACCCCCGAAUCCGGGAUAACAUUUCGAAAGGGAUGCUAAUACCGGAUAAUAUCUGUUUUACCUUGGUUUAACAGAUCAAAGGUGGCCUAUCCUUGGAAGCCAUUGUUUGGGGAUGAGUCCGCGUACCAUUAGCUUGUUGGUGGGGUAACGGCCUACCAAAGCGAUGAUGGUUAGCUGGUCUGAGAGGAUGAUCAGCCACACUGGAACUGACACACGGUCCAGACUCCUACGGGAGGCAGCAGUGAGGAAUUUUGCGCAAUGGACGAAAGUCUGACGCAGCAACGCCGCGUGAGUGAUGAAGGCCCUUGGGUCGUAAAGCUCUGUCAAUGGGGAAGAAACAGUAAAGGGUUAAUAUCCUUUUGCCUUGACGGUACCCAUGAAGGAAGCACCGGCUAACUCCGUGCCAGCAGCCGCGGUAAUACGGGGGGUGCAAGCGUUAUUCGGAAUUAUUGGGCGUAAAGGGCGCGUAGGCGGCCAUUUAAGUCAGAUGUGAAAGCCCGGGGCUCAACCCCGGAAGUGCAUUUGAAACUGGAUGGCUUGAGUAUGGGAGAGGGAAGUGGAAUUCCAGGUGUAGAGGUGAAAUUCGUAGAUAUCUGGAGGAACACCAGUGGCGAAGGCGACUUCCUGGACCAAUACUGACGCUGANGCGCGAAGGCGUGGGGAGCAAACAGGAUUAGAUACCCUGGUAGUCCACGCAGUAAACGUUGACAACUAGGUGUUGCGGGUAUUGACCCCUGCAGUGCCGUAGCUAACGCAUUAAGUUGUCCGCCUGGGGAGUACGGUCGCA